GGAGCUUGCUCCUGCCGGCGAGUGGCGAACGGGUGAGUAAUGCAUCGGAACGUGUCCUGUUGUGGGGGAUAACUGAUCGAAAGAUCAGCUAAUACCGCAUGAGACCUGAGGGUGAAAGCGGGGGAUCGCAAGACCUCGCGCGACAGGAGCGGCCGAUGUCUGAUUAGCUAGUUGGUGAGAUAAAAGCUUACCAAGGCGACGAUCAGUAGCUGGUCUGAGAGGAUGAUCAGCCACAUUGGGACUGAGACACGGCCCAGACUCCUACGGGAGGCAGCAGUGGGGAAUUUUGGACAAUGGGGGAAACCCUGAUCCAGCCAUGCCGCGUGCGGGAUGAAGGCCUUCGGGUUGUAAACCGCUUUUGUCAGAGACGAAAAGGGACGUACGAAUAAUACGUUCCGCUGACGGUAUCUGAAGAAUAAGCACCGGCUAACUACGUGCCAGCAGCCGCGGUAAUACGUAGGGUGCAAGCGUUAAUCGGAAUUACUGGGCGUAAAGGGUGCGCAGGCGGCUGUGCAAGACAGAUGUGAAAUCCCCGGGCUUAACCUGGGAACUGCAUUUGUGACUGCACGGCUAGAGUUUGUCAGAGGAGGGUGGAAUUCCGCGUGUAGCAGUGAAAUGCGUAGAUAUGCGGAAGAACACCAAUGGCGAAGGCAGCCCUCUGGGACAUGACUGACGCUCAUGCACGAAAGCGUGAGGAGCAAACAGGA
rnacentral:rRNA from 1 species